UACGUAGGUGGCAAGCGUUGUCCGGAUUUACUGGGCGUAAAGGGCGUGCAGGCGGUUUGUUAAGUGCAGGGUGAAAGCUCCCGGCUCAACUGGGAGAGGUCCUUGCAUACUGGCGAACUCGAGGGAGGCAGAGGAAAGUGGAAUUCCCGGUGUAGUGGUGAUAUGCGUAGAUAUCGGGAGGAACACCUGUGGCGAAAGCGGCUUUCUGGGCCUUACCUGACGCUGAGACGCGAAAGCGUGGGGAGCGAACCGG
rnacentral:rRNA from 1 species